rnacentral:rRNA from 1 species
AACGAACGCUGGCGGCAGGCCUAACACAUGCAGGUCGAGCGAGGACUUCGGUCCUAGCGGCGGACGGGUGAGUAGCGCGUGGGAACGUGCCCCUUGGUACGGAAUAGCCCCGGGAAACUGGAAGUAAUACCGUAUGAGCUCUACGGAGGAAAGAUUUAUCGCCAAGGGAUCGGCCCGCGUUGGAUUAGGUAGUUGGUGGGGUAAUGGCCUACCAAGCCGACGAUCCAUAGCUGGUUUGAGAGGAUGAUCAGCCACACUGGGACUGAGACACGGCCCAGACUCCUACGGGAGGCAGCAGUGGGGAAUCUUAGACAAUGGGCGCAAGCCUGAUCUAGCCAUGCCGCGUGAGCGAUGAAGGCCUUAGGGUUGUAAAGCUCUUUCAGCUGGGAAGAUAAUGACUGUACCAGCAGAAGAAGCCCCGGCUAACUCCGUGCCAGCCGCCGCAGUAA